UACGUAGGGUGCAAGCGUUGUCCGGAAUUAUUGGGCGUAAAGAGCUUGUAGGCGGUUUGUCGCGUCUGCUGUGAAAUUUCGGGGCUCAACCCCGAACUUGCAGUGGGUACGGGCAGACUAGAGUGUGGUAGGGGAGACUGGAAUUCCUGGUGUAGCGGUGAAAUGCGCAGAUAUCAGGAGGAACACCGAUGGCGAAGGCAGGUCUCUGGGCCACUACUGACGCUGAGAAGCGAAAGCGUGGGUAGCAAACAGG
rnacentral:rRNA from 1 species